AAGUAGAAAAUUUCAAUAACCUUUUGAAGGAUGAUAACGUUCGGCGACAAUUUAUUGAGAAAAUGUCACAAAUAGGCGGAGAAACUGUAGCUAAAAAUGUAAGACAUAUAAUGUCGCAAACCAUUGGCUACGAAGUUGCGCAGGCAUAUACGUGGAUAGGACAAAAAAAAGUUAUCUUUAAAAAAAUCGAAACUUUCGGAGUCAAUAAUUGGACGCGGCAACUACUUACCACGUGGCGGGAAUUCGUGCGAUAGCCA